UUAGGUAGUUGGUGGGGGUAAUGGCCUACCAAGCCGACGAUCCAUAGCUGGUUUUGAGAGGAUGAUCAGCCACACUGGGGACUGAGACACGGCCCAGACUCCUACGGGAGGCAGCAGUGGGGAAUCUUAGACAAUGGGCGCAAGCCUGAUCUAGCCAUGCCGCGUGAGCGAUGAAGGCCUUAGGGUUGUAAAGCUCUUUCGUGGGGGAAGAUAAUGACUGUACCCCAAGAAGAAGCCCCGGCUAACUCCGUGCCAGCAGCCGCGGUAAUACGGAGGGGGCUAGCGUUGUUCGGAAUUACUGGGCGUAAAGCGCACGUAGGCGGACUGGAAAGUCAGAGGUGAAAUCCCAGGGCUCAACCUUGGAACUGCCUUUGAAACUCCCGGUCUUGAGGUCGAGAGAGGUGAGUGGAAUUCCGAGUGUAGAGGUGAAAUUCGUAGAUAUUCGGAGGAACACCAGUGGCGAAGGCGGCUCACUGGCUCGAUACUGACGCUGAGGUGCGAAAGCGU
rnacentral:rRNA from 1 species